rnacentral:rRNA from 1 species
CUGACACAGGUGGCUGCAUGGCUGUCGUCAGCUCGUGUCGUGAGAUGUUGGGUUAAGUCCGUAACGAGCGCAACCCUGUCCUUAGUUACCAGCACGUAUGGUGGGCACUCUAAGGAGACUGCCGGUGACAACCGGAGGAAGGUGGGGAGUGACGUCAAGUCAUCAUGGCCCUUACGGCCUGGGCUACACACGUGCUACAAUGGUCGGUACAAAGGGUUGCCAAGCCGCGAGGUGGAGCUAAUCCCAUAAAACCGAUCGUAGUCCGGAUCGCAGUCUGCAACUCGACUGCGUGAAGUCGGAAUCGCUAGUAAUCGUGAAUCAGAAUGUCACGGUGAAUACGUUCCCGGGCCUU